rnacentral:lncRNA from 1 species
AUGGCCCCCUCCCUCCCCGGCGCCAGUGACCGAGGAGGAGGAGGAGGAAGAGGAGGAGGAGGAGGAGGAGGAGGGGGAGCAGCUGGCUCCGUGGGACCCAGGGCGGAGCUGGGACGGGAGCCCCGGAGGGAGCAAAUCCGCGGGAAUGCGUCGGGGAUUCUCCCAGAUCCACCGGGACAUUCCUCAUUAGCGAGGCCGGGCUUCCAGAGCCGGCGGCGGACCGCAGGGCGCGAGGCCUCCCCGGAGGCGGCGGCCGCCCCUAAUCCCCGGGCGCGUCCAGGCCUGAGGCUGGAAAUGAAACCCGCCCUGGGGGGGACGGCGCACCGCCUCCCCUCGACUCGGGGGGACCGAGAAGCCCCGCGUCUGCCCACCUCGGGGCGGGGACCGGUUAGGAACCCCCUUUGCGGCCCCGACGUGCAGCAGACGCCGGUCACGGACGCCGCUGGUCCUGAGCCUCCGCCUCCAAGAGGCUUCCCAAACCUCCCGGCCGCGUCUGCCGCCCGCCCCGCGCUCCCCACACGCGGCUGGCCCUGGUUUCCCGUCGCCUCCCCAAGGGGCACCCCUGUGACCCGCAGCCCUGUUCAACUCUUCUUGCAACCAGUGCUCUCGGAACACGUUAGGGGUCCCCCUUCUGCUGGGGUGGAGACGCGCCCGUCCUGCGCGGCCAUGGUGGCGGGGCUCCGCUCUGUACGCCUGGGCCUCAGUUUCCCCAAGUGCAAGGCAGGCCCACUCUGCACCCGGGGCCUCAGUUUCCCCGCAUGCAGGGCAGGUCCACUGCGCGCCCGGGCCUCAGUUUCCCCGCGUGCACGGGCAGAUCCACUGCGCGCCCGGGCCUCAGUUUCCCCGUGUGCACGGGUCCACCGCGCGCCCGAGCCUCAGUUUCCCCCUGUGCACGGCGGGCAGGUCCACCGCGCGCCCGAGCCUCAGUUUCCCCUGUGCACGGCAAGCCCACCGCACGCCCAGGCUUCAGUUCCCUCCUCCCCCCAGCCGGCGAGCGGCCCGCAGGCUCGGCGGGAGCGGCGGACACUGCGGUCAGCGGCCGCCCCCCUCCCCGCGCGCCGACCAGGCACCCGGUCUCAGUUCCAAUCAGACUUUCCGGCCACGUGCCCUCAAACAAGAUGGAGCCCCAGAGGUUUCCUGCCCGACCCCAAGAUGGCGGCGCGCCUCCCUUCGCCCUCAGGCCGGGGGUGGGCGGCCCCUGCCCGUUUGCAAGAUGGCGGCAGCCUGGGGGAAGCACGCUUCCCGCCUCCCGCCUCGCCACGUACCCGCUCUCAAGAUGGCUUCUCCCGCGAGCCCCUCGCAGGAGGGCGGCUGGCUCACGGGCUCAGGCGCCGUCACGUGGCCCCGUCUGGCCUCCCCUCCCCCGACUCCACGGGCCGUUUCCGCCUGGAGGCCUGA